rnacentral:rRNA from 1 species
GGUUAAGCGACUAAGCGUACACGGUGGAUGCCCUGGCAGUCAGAGGCGAUGAAGGACGUGCUAAUCUGCGAUAAGCGUCGGUAAGGUGAUAUGAACCGUUAUAACCGGCGAUUUCCGAAUGGGGAAACCCAGUGUGUUUCGACACACUAUCAUUAACUGAAUCCAUAGGUUAAUGAGGCGAACCGGGGGAACUGAAACAUCUAAGUACCCCGAGGAAAAGAAAUCAACCGAGAUUCCCCCAGUAGCGGCGAGCGAACGGGGAGGAGCCCAGAGCCUGAAUCAGUGUGUGUGUUAGUGGAAGCGUCUGGAAAGGCGCGCGAUACAGGGUGACAGCCCCGUACACAAAAAUGCACAUAUUGUGAGCUCGAUGAGUAGGGCGGGACACGUGGUAUCCUGUCUGAAUAUGGGGGGACCAUCCUCCAAGGCUAAAUACUCCUGACUGACCGAUAGUGAACCAGUACCGUGAGGGAAAGGCGAAAAGAACCCCGGCGAGGGGAGUGAAAAAGAACCUGAAACCGUGUACGUACAAGCAGUGGGAGCACGCUUAGGCGUGUGACUGCGUACCUUUUGUAUAAUGGGUCAGCGACUUAUAUUCUGUAGCAAGGUUAACCGAAUAGGGGAGCCGAAGGGAAACCGAGUCUUAACUGGGCGUUAAGUUGCAGGGUAUAGACCCGAAACCCGGUGAUCUAGCCAUGGGCAGGUUGAAGGUUGGGUAACACUAACUGGAGGACCGAACCGACUAAUGUUGAAAAAUUAGCGGAUGACUUGUGGCUGGGGGUGAAAGGCCAAUCAAACCGGGAGAUAGCUGGUUCUCCCCGAAAGCUAUUUAGGUAGCGCCUCGUGAAUUCAUCUCCGGGGGUAGAGCACUGUUUCGGCAAGGGGGUCAUCCCGACUUACCAACCCGAUGCAAACUGCGAAUACCGGAGAAUGUUAUCACGGGAGACACACGGCGGGUGCUAACGUCCGUCGUGAAGAGGGAAACAACCCAGACCGCCAGCUAAGGUCCCAAAGUCAUGGUUAAGUGGGAAACGAUGUGGGAAGGCCCAGACAGCCAGGAUGUUGGCUUAGAAGCAGCCAUCAUUUAAAGAAAGCGUAAUAGCUCACUGGUCGAGUCGGCCUGCGCGGAAGAUGUAACGGGGCUAAACCAUGCACCGAAGCUGCGGCAGCGACACUAUGUGUUGUUGGGUAGGGGAGCGUUCUGUAAGCCUGCGAAGGUGUGCUGUGAGGCAUGCUGGAGGUAUCAGAAGUGCGAAUGCUGACAUAAGUAACGAUAAAGCGGGUGAAAAGCCCGCUCGCCGGAAGACCAAGGGUUCCUGUCCAACGUUAAUCGGGGCAGGGUGAGUCGACCCCUAAGGCGAGGCCGAAAGGCGUAGUCGAUGGGAAACAGGUUAAUAUUCCUGUACUUGGUGUUACUGCGAAGGGGGGACGGAGAAGGCUAUGUUGGCCGGGCGACGGUUGUCCCGGUUUAAGCGUGUAGGCUGGUUUUCCAGGCAAAUCCGGAAAAUCAAGGCUGAGGCGUGAUGACGAGGCACUACGGUGCUGAAGCAACAAAUGCCCUGCUUCCAGGAAAAGCCUCUAAGCAUCAGGUAACAUCAAAUCGUACCCCAAACCGACACAGGUGGUCAGGUAGAGAAUACCAAGGCGCUUGAGAGAACUCGGGUGAAGGAACUAGGCAAAAUGGUGCCGUAACUUCGGGAGAAGGCACGCUGAUAUGUAGGUGAAGCGACUUGCUCGUGGAGCUGAAAUCAGUCGAAGAUACCAGCUGGCUGCAACUGUUUAUUAAAAACACAGCACUGUGCAAACACGAAAGUGGACGUAUACGGUGUGACGCCUGCCCGGUGCCGGAAGGUUAAUUGAUGGGGUCAGCGCAAGCGAAGCUCUUGAUCGAAGCCCCGGUAAACGGCGGCCGUAACUAUAACGGUCCUAAGGUAGCGAAAUUCCUUGUCGGGUAAGUUCCGACCUGCACGAAUGGCGUAAUGAUGGCCAGGCUGUCUCCACCCGAGACUCAGUGAAAUUGAACUCGCUGUGAAGAUGCAGUGUACCCGCGGCAAGACGGAAAGACCCCGUGAACCUUUACUAUAGCUUGACACUGAACAUUGAGCCUUGAUGUGUAGGAUAGGUGGGAGGCUUUGAAGUGUGGACGCCAGUCUGCAUGGAGCCGACCUUGAAAUACCACCCUUUAAUGUUUGAUGUUCUAACGUGGACCCGUGAUCCGGGUUGCGGACAGUGUCUGGUGGGUAGUUUGACUGGGGCGGUCUCCUCCUAAAGAGUAACGGAGGAGCACGAAGGUUGGCUAAUCCUGGUCGGACAUCAGGAGGUUAGUGCAAUGGCAUAAGCCAGCUUGACUGCGAGCGUGACGGCGCGAGCAGGUGCGAAAGCAGGUCAUAGUGAUCCGGUGGUUCUGAAUGGAAGGGCCAUCGCUCAACGGAUAAAAGGUACUCCGGGGAUAACAGGCUGAUACCGCCCAAGAGUUCAUAUCGACGGCGGUGUUUGGCACCUCGAUGUCGGCUCAUCACAUCCUGGGGCUGAAGUAGGUCCCAAGGGUAUGGCUGUUCGCCAUUUAAAGUGGUACGCGAGCUGGGUUUAGAACGUCGUGAGACAGUUCGGUCCCUAUCUGCCGUGGGCGCUGGAGAACUGAGGGGGGCUGCUCCUAGUACGAGAGGACCGGAGUGGACGCAUCACUGGUGUUCGGGUUGUCAUGCCAAUGGCACUGCCCGGUAGCUAAAUGCGGAAGAGAUAAGUGCUGAAAGCAUCUAAGCACGAAACUUGCCCCGAGAUGAGUUCUCCCUGACUCCUUGAGAGUCCUGAAGGAACGUUGAAGACGACGACGUUGAUAGGCCGGGUGUGUAAGCGCAGCGAUGCGUUGAGCUAACCGGUACUAAUGAACCGUGAGGCUUAACCUU